rnacentral:rRNA from 1 species
GAUGAACGCUGGCGGCGUGCCUAGUACAUGCAAGUCGAGCGAACGGACGAUAAGCUUUCUUCUCUGAUGUUAGCGGCGGACGGGUGAGUAACACGUGGAUAACCUACCUAUAAGACUGGGAUAACUUCGGGAAACCGGAGCUAAUACCGGAUAAUAUUUUGAACCGCAUGGUUCAAAAGUGAAAGACGGUCUUGCUGUCACUUUUAGAUGGAUCCGCGCUGCAUUAGCUAGUUGGUAAGGUAACGGCUUACCAAGGCAACGAUGCAUAGCCGACCUGAGAGGAUGAUCGGCCACACUGGAACUGAGACACGGUCCAGACUCCUACGGGAGGCAGCAGUAGGGAAUCUUCCGCAAUGGGCGAAAGCCUGACGGAGCAACGCCGCGUGAGUGAUGAAGGUCUUCGGAUCGUAAAACUCUGUUAUUAGGGAAGAACAUAUGUGUAAGUAACUGUGCACAUCUUGACGGUACCUAAUCAGAAAGCCACGGCUAACUACGUG